UCAUGAGUCACCUAAAGGUCUUGUUAAAAUGCAGAUUCUGGGUCCGCAGACCUUAAGUGUGGCCUUCAAAUUCUGCAUUUCUAAUAAACUCCCAGAUGAUGCUGAU
rnacentral:miRNA from 1 species